rnacentral:rRNA from 1 species
UACGAAGGGGGCUAGCGUUGCUCGGAAUCACUGGGCGUAAAGCGCACGUAGGCGGGUCCUUAAGUCAGGGGUGAAAUCCCGGAGCUCAACUCCGGAACUGCCUUUGAUACUGGGGAUCUUGAGUCCGGAAGAGGUGAGUGGAACUCCGAGUGUAGAGGUGAAAUUCGUAGAUAUUGGGAAGAACACCAGUGGCGAAGGCGGUUAACUGGUCCAGAUCUGACGCUGAGGUGCGAAAGCGUGGGGAGCAAACAGG